GGAAUUAUCCUUUAAUAUAUGAGCAGAAUUAUAUUUUGUCCAUUAAAUAAUUUCAAACAUUUAAGCAUACAACUUCAGAUCAAAAGAUUUUAAAGAUCAUGAGAAACAUUUUAGUCAAGUAACCCAAAACCUUUGAUUGCUUUGACCUCGGACGCAGCAAUAUUGACGGACGUUUGAGCGAGAGGGUGUGUAGUGCUCUUCCACCAUACAAUAUAGUUCUCAUUUUUGAUCCACUUAAAGCAACACCAAAGAGUUGUUUCUUACCCUAAAAUAACGUUUCCAAGAAAGUUUCAGUCGUUCAUCCACUCGAAACAGUGUGAACGGCACUUUCACAUUCGCUUUGAAGCCCUCUAUCAUUCGCACUAAAGAAGUUUCCAACCGUCGGGUCGCGGUCCUGUAGUUCGAGUGAAAACUACAAAAACUUGCUUUACGGCAGACCUACAAUCCAAACAGAGCAUGCUUUGCUGCAGUAGGCUAAAUUAUUUGCGACAGUGGUAAUGGACAAUUCCGCUUCCAACCUGUAGGGGGAGCAAAGAGCAAAAACUCUUUUUGUUUUGUGCCACCAUACUUACUCGUGUAACUACUCAUGUAACAGUCUUUAAAUUGGGAAACAUGGAAGUGUUUGGUGGCUUCUAAAUUCAUCCCUGUUUGUGAAUGGGGCUAGGCUAAAUGCUAACACAUUCACGGCGCGCUGUACAAAGAUUAAGUGCACACAUUGAAAAAAGAUAGGUAUGUAUUAAUUCGUCUAAUUUGAGGUAAGAACGUAGUAAAAUAUUGAAAAACAGUGUUUUCCUUUAACUGCUUGCCAAUUGAAUGUGUUAAUUUAGUGCAGUUAAUUAAUACAAAAAUUUAUGAAAUUAAAAAUGAUGCUUUUUGACCUUUUGCAAAUUAAUGUCUGGACCCUCUGAGCAAUUCCAGCUUAAAGUACCAAAUACAUUUAAAGGAUGUUUUUAAUAAGUACUGCAGGCACUUACUGAGAACAGGUUGCUCAUAAUGAGUAGUCAAACCUAUGCAGAUCUGUUUGAUUUACACAGUUCAAAAACAGACAGGCGGAGUGCAACACAAUAAACAAUUUGUUCAAGUCUAUAGAGGAAUUAACUAUUCAUUUAAUGGAGUGUCUUAAAAACUCAGCAUCCAUGGCAUGUUAUGUUCAACAAUAAGGGCAGGGCUGCGUUUCCCAAAACCUUCUUAGCUAUACGUCGUUCUCAAUUUGUAACUUAAGCUGUACCUUAUCGUUAAAGAGCACCUAUUAUGGGAUACACGUUUUUAAACAUCCUUUUGUGUGUAAGUGUGCAUAAGUACAUGCUAACGAUAUUCAAGAAGUACAUACCUCAAAGAAAACGAUGACACGAGUUAUCGUCUCUAACGUUCGAGGACUACAAAAAACACUCGGAUUGUAGGCAACAGUUUACUUCCUGGGAUUGGUGACGUAGAUAAGACCAACAUUAUCAUAGUUCAGCCCUCUCUGCUUUGCUUGGGUACGCCCUCAAAGACGAGGGUGGGGAGCGCCGAGUCAGAAGACAGCUAAAAUGGCGGAGGUUGUGAGUUCCUGCUUUGACCCUGUUUGCAAGCUCUUGUUUCAUUGUUUAAGCGAUUAAAUCUCUCGAGUAGACGCUGUCUCUUUAGAUGCGAGGGCAAAAUAGCACUUUAUGGACUUCCACAGAGGACAUCAUGUUUAAUACGGUUCCGGAAAAAUCCAGUCAGAAGUUGUUCACGGAGUUUUCACAAUAACUGCUUCUCAUGAACCGAAGCUGGAUUUGCGCGAAGUCUCCUCUUGAAAGUUGGAUUACUGCACUUCUGGAUCACAGGCUAUUCGCAGCUGGACACAUCCUUCUACACUGUAUGCAAACAUGCAACAUCAUUACACACAGUACAAGGAGUCAGACUGGCAUAUGAGGAGCAAAGGAACCCAGGCAGUAGCAUCGUUUCACAAUGUUUCCAUCACCAUCAUCAGUGGAUGCCUUUGCUGUCCGUAGCCUGAGAUUUCAGAUUUGCAGCAAAAAAAAAAUUAUUUUCUCAUUUAUUGGAAUGCUGUGCAGGUAUUUGUACCUUGCAGCCAUCCAUUACAAUGUCACCAAGCCGUAACAAAAGCAGGAGAGGGAAAGUACAAGGCUAUGUUCCCAAAACACACAAGUGACAUACCUUAUGUGGAUGAUGUGAUCAGGCUUGUGUUUGAUGAGGUAUUUGAAGAUAAGCUGAAGGAAGCCCUGAUUCCAAUGGACCUGGCAUCACAGUUUGAGAGACCUUCAAAGGAGGACGUGAUUGCAUGCCAUCUUCAGUGCAGGGGUCGUCGAAAGCCAAAAUUGUGACCGAUCUGAUCAGGAAGCUCCAAGCGUAUCUGGAGAACAACACACGACAGGAUGAUAACCUUAUAGUGUCGUCUUAAAUAGCACCAGCUGACAAAGCUUUGAUAUGCCAUUUAUCUGAAUAGAUAGCUGUAAUAAAUGAAUUGAACAAUUUUUGAAACAAGAGCACAAUAUGGUUACUAAAGUAUGUUUAUUUAUAUAUUGUUUAACAUUUAAAUAUAUAUUUGUAAUAAAUAAAAAAAACUUUUGACUGACUAUUAUAUUUUCUUUAAAGUUACAUCUUUUGUUCUUUUGGGUACUUUGUUACUAUAAUGAUAC